UAAGGUCUAUAUAAAAGAGAUUCAGAUACAGUAUUAGGGGACCACUAAGGUCUAUAUAAAAGAGACUUCAGAUACAGUAUUAGGGGACCACUAAGGUCUAUAUAAAAGAGACUUCAGAUACAGUAUUACGGGACCACUAAGGUCUAUAUAAAAGAGACUUCAGAUACAGUAUUAGGGGACCACUAAGGUCUAUAUAAAAGCAUCCAAAGACCACCAUGUCAUGGGACCUUUAAAUAAUGUACAUAACUUACGCACAAGACAAAAUUUAAGUAUGUUAUGUAACCAAGUCAACAUUGACAUUCAGUUUCACACGGGACACGAACAGCGGUCUCCUCUGUGAAAGUCCUGUGUCGGCUUGACCCAUCCAUCCACCAUGAACUUCAUUAUAUGCGGAAUUUGUUGGCUUUGAUUAGAGUUGUUAUGCAUUUGUGAUAGGUCAAAGACAACCUUAAUCGGGACAAAAUAUGUUUCUCUCAGAGGAUGCAGUUUUGUUGUAUGGGUAUUUUGAGGAGACAGCAUUGCUUUGUUUUACCUCAUGUUUUAUCACACAUCAGUGUACUUGUCUUUGUUGAAUUGCAGGCACUUGAGAGGAAAUACAAAGUAAACCUAAAAAGUGGUAAAGCCAAAGUUGUCUCUCCUCCAAACCGCAUUGUAAUAAUUAAUGGAUUUUUUAUCCCACAUUCAAACAACUACAGUACCUGUGUCAAUGCAUCACUAAACACAAACCUUCAAUAAGCAACUCUAAACCAGAUAUUCUAUUUCAGUUUACAUUACACUGAUUUCAUGACUGAUGAAAUCAGUGCUUAACUGUAGAAAUGCCUGCUUAUCUCAGCGUUGUGUG